rnacentral:rRNA from 1 species
UACAGAGGGUGCGAGCGUUAAUCGGAAUUACUGGGCGUAAAGCGCGCGUAGGCGGCUUUGCAAGCCGGAUGUGAAAUCCCCGGGCUUAACCUGGGAACUGCAUUCGGGACUGCAUUGCUAGAGUAUGGGAGAGGGAAGUGGAAUUUCAGGUGUAACGGUGAAAUGCGUAGAUAUCUGAAGGAACAUCAGUGGCGAAAGCGACUUCCUGGACCAAUACUGACGCUCAUGUGCGAAAGCGUGGGGAGCAAACAGG